AGCAAACAGGAUUAGAUACCCUGGUAGUCCACGCCGUAAACGAUGUCGACUUGGAGGUUGUUCCCUUGAGGAGUGGCUUCCGGAGCUAACGCGUUAAGUCGACCGCCUGGGGAGUACGGCCGCAAGGUUAAAACUCAAAUGAAUUGACGGGGGCCCGCACAAGCGGUGGAGCAUGUGGUUUAAUUCGAUGCAACGCGAAGAACCUUACCUACUCUUGACAUCCACGGAAUUUGGCAGAGAUGCCUUAGUGCCUUCGGGAACCGUGAGACAGGUGCUGCAUGGCUGUCGUCAGCUCGUGUUGUGAAAUGUUGGGUUAAGUCCCGCAACGAGCGCAACCCUUAUCCUUUGUUGCCAGCGAUUCGGUCGGGAACUCAAAGGAGACUGCCGGUGAUAAACCGGAGGAAGGUGGGGAUGACGUCAAGUCAUCAUGGCCCUUACGAGUAGGGCUACACACGUGCUACAAUGGCGCAUACAAAGAGAAGCGACCUCGCGAGAGCAAGCGGACCUCACAAAGUGCGUCGUAGUCCGGAUCGGAGUCUGCAACUCGACUCCGUGAAGUCGGAAUCGCUAGUAAUCGUGGAUCAGAAUGCCACGGUGACUACGUUCCCCAACGUAGUACACUCCUCCCAUCGCAACCAUAGUCAGUAGGCAAGCUAACCAAG
rnacentral:rRNA from 1 species